AUGAUGUGGAGAGAUGGCCUACUGAUUAAACUCUGUAAAUUGGGUGUUAGCGGGAGGAUGUACGGGUGGAUAAUGGAUUUUUUAAAGGGGCGACAUAUUCAAGUGAGGAUUGGGAAGGUUUUUUCUGAAAGGUUUUUGGUAGAAAAUGGUACACCUCAAGGGAGCAUAGUGAGCCCUUUGUUAUUUUCUUUGAUGAUAGAUGAUGUGUUUAAUGAUUUAGAGGCAGGGGUGGGAUGUUCACUGUUUGCUGAUGAUGGAGCAAUAUGGAAAAGAGGGAAAAAUAUAGAGUAUAUUGUGAAGAAACUGCAGGGAACAAUUAGAAGAGUCGAAGAGUGGUCUUAUAAGUGGGGUUUUAAAUUUUCAGUUGAUAAAACCAAGGUGAUGUUUUUUACAAGGAAGAGAGUUGGUAAGGACGUCAAGCUUAAGUUGUAUGAUCAAGAAUUAGAAAGGGUGAGUAAAUUUAAGUUUCUUGGAUUGUGGUUUGAUGAGAGGUUAACAUGGGCUGCACAUAUUCAGAAGGUGGUGGACAAAUGUAAAAAAAGUUCAUCAUUGGUCAGUCUACAGCAUAGUCACUCAGACAGUAGAGCAGAUGUUUUGGCGGAAAUUCAGCAGACACUUUUCCGGAUACACAUGAUGGGACUUGCAGUCGUGUUUUUAUGGGUUCCAGCGCACUGUGGAGUAUGGGCGAAUGAAAAGGCAGAUAGAGUUGCAAAGGAGGCCGUAAAACAUGGGGUGGUUGACAUGGCUGUUAGUUUUGGCCAAGCAGAGAUAAGGAGUAUGGUAAGGCAAGAUAUGAGAGCAAGAUGGCAAAAGCAGUGGGAGGAAGAAAAGAAGGAACGAUGGUUGUAUAAAAUUCAAAGGAGGGUGGGAGGAAUGAGAAACGCAGGACGGACUAGGAGGGAGGAGGUGAUCAUAUCCAGACUGAGAUUUGGACAUACUGGCUUGAAUAAUACAUUAUUCAUGAUAAGGAAACAUAGUACCGGAAAAUGUGAUUACUGUGGGGUAGAGGAAACUGUAGAACAUGUCAUGUUGCAGUGUCAGAGUUAUCCGGUUGUUCAGUCUGACGUCACUAGCCAUGUCUGGGCCUAA
rnacentral:lncRNA from 1 species